rnacentral:rRNA from 1 species
CACGUAGGGGGCAAGCGUUGUCCGGAUUUAUUGGGCGUAAAGAGCUCGUAGGCGGUCUGUCACGUCGGCUGUGAAAUCCUGAGGCUCAACCUCAGCCUGCGCGGGAUACUGCUUGGCUAGAGUCCGGAAGAGGAGAGUGGAAUUCCUGGUGUAGCGGUGGAAUGCGCAGAUAUCGGGAGGAACACCGGUGGCGAAGGCGGCAUCCUGGACCAAUAUUGACGCUGAGGUAGCGAAAGCCGGAUGGGCAAACAGGG